rnacentral:misc_RNA from 1 species
GUGAGUCAUCGAAUCUUUGAACGCACAUUGCGCUCUCUGGUAUUCCGGGGAGCAUGCUCGUUUCAGAAUCAUUAACAUUCUCAAAGACACGGUAUGAACCUUCGGGUGGCGCCGUUCCUCUUUCGGAUGUGAGCCUUUUUGCUGCAAGGCAAUGGCUUGAAAAUGAUUGUGUUUGCAACCGGCUUUUUGGUUCGGUUCUCUCAAGUGCAACAGAUGUUAGCUCAUUCGUUACCUCUUGAUGGGAAGCGUUUCCUUUGUCCGGAUGAUCCUACACUCAACCAACUAACACUUUCAGUGAUC